rnacentral:lncRNA from 1 species
AACACGCGAAAAAAUAAUUUACUAAGAGAAAAGAUUGCAAGGUGAUUACCGACUCCACGGACUCGACUUCUCUUAACCUUCUAUAAAUCUCGCGCAAUCCUCCAGGUUGUCCACGCCCUCACGUUCGAAUCCACGAACGCCACGUUCCGAAUCCACGAAACGCCACCACUUCGAAUCCACGAAGCUCUCGAUCCGAAUCCUUGAACCGUCUGCAAUCACGCCGAAUCCACGCCGCCGCCCAUGAAGAACAUCAUGUUAAUGGUGAUCCUUCGCUUA